GUAACAAGGUCUCCGUUGGUGAACCAGCGGAGGGAUCAUUACAGAGUUACUACUCCAAACCCAUUGUGAACCUUACCUUAUGUUCUGUUGCCUCGGCGGCGUCGGUCAGCGCCCCUCUGAAAAGAGGACGAUGCCCCUCCCGCCGGCAGCACCAAACUCUUGAAUUUUACAGCGGAUUACAGUUCUGAUUUGAAAACAAAAAACAAGUUAAAACUUUCAACAACGGAUCUCUUGGUUCUGGCAUCGAUGAAGAACGCAGCGAAAUGCGAUAAGUAAUGUGAAUUGCAGAAUUCAGUGAAUCAUCGAAUCUUUUGAACGCACAUUGCGCCCGGCAGUAAUCUUGCCGGGCAUGCCUGUCCGAGCGUCAUUUCAACCCUCGGAACCUCCGUUUCCUCAGGAAAGCCCCAGGGUCGGUGUUGGGGCGCUACGGCGAGUCCUCGCGACCCCCGUAGGCCCUGAAAUACCAGUGGCGGUCCCGCCGCGGUUGCCUUCUGCGUAGUAAGUCUCUUUUGCAAGCUCGCAUUGGGUCCCGGCGGAGGCCUGCCGUCAAACCACCUAACAACUCCAGAUGGUUUGAACCUCGGAUCAGGUAGGGUUACCCGCUGAACUUAAGCAUAUCAA
rnacentral:rRNA from 1 species